UGGGCAACCUGCCCUCAGCUCUGGGAUAACUCCGGGAAACCGGGGCUAAUACUGGAUAUGACUCGAACAGGCAUCUGUUUCGGGUGGAAAGAUUUAUUGGUGGAGGAUGGACUCGCGGCCUAUCAGCUUGUUGGUGAGGUAAUGGCUCACCAAGGCGACGACGGGUAGCCGGCCUGAGAGGGCGAUCGGCCACACUGGGACUGAGACACGGCCCAGACUCCUACGGGAGGNAG
rnacentral:rRNA from 1 species